UACGAAGGGGGCUAGCGUUGCUCGGAAUCACUGGGCGUAAAGCGCACGUAGGCGGAUUGUUAAGUCAGGGGUGAAAUCCUGGAGCUCAACUCCAGAACUGCCUUUGAUACUGGCGAUCUCGAGUCCGGGAGAGGUGAGUGGAACUGCGAGUGUAGAGGUGAAAUUCGUAGAUAUUCGCAAGAACACCAGUGGCGAAGGCGGCUCACUGGCCCGGUACUGACGCUGAGGUGCGAAAGUGUGGGGAGCAAACGGG
rnacentral:rRNA from 1 species